AAUUGAGCCAGCAUGUCCUGAAUGUUGUUGUUGACAGAGUCUUGUUUAUCCAUUCUGGCACGGAGUUCCUUCUGAUCUUGCUUAAGUUCUUCCAGCGUCUGGAGAACCAUAGGGAUAACAGAUGAGGACUCCCCCUGAGUCAGAGCCUGCUGUGCUUCAGCAGCGGCCUUUGCUUCAGCUUCAGCAGCAGCUUGUGCUUCAGCUUCGGCAGCAGCAGCAGCAUCAGCCAGAGC
rnacentral:lncRNA from 1 species